AGAGUUUGAUCCUGGCUCAGGAUGAACGUUGGCGGCGUGCCUAAUACAUGCAAGUCGAACGAGGACCCUUGUAUUCGUACGAGGAUCUCCUAGUGGCGAACGGGUGAGUAACGCGUUGGUGAUCUGCCCCGAAGAAGGGGACAACAGUUCGAAAGAACUGCUAAUACCCUAUGUGGUCACUUGGGUUAAAGGCCUUGUGACUAAAGGAGUAAUCCGCUUCGGGAGGAGCCUGCGUCCCAUCAGCUAGUUGGUAGGGUAAUGGCCUACCAAGGCUGCGACGGGUAGGGGACCUGAGAGGGUGGUCCCCCACAAUGGAACUGAAACACGGUCCAUACUCCUACGGGAGGCAGCAGUGAGGAAUAUUGCCCAAUGGACGCAAGUCUGAGGCAGCAACGCCGCGUGGGCGAUGAAGGCCUUCGGGUUGUAAAGCCCUUUUCUGGGGGACGAGAGAGGACGGUACCCCAGGAAUAAGUCACGGCUAACUACGUGCCAGCAGCCGCGGUAAUACGUAGGUGGCGAGCGUUAUCCGGAUUUACUGGGCGUAAAGCGCGUGCAGGCGGUUCCGUAAGUCGGACGUGAAAGCUCCUGGCUUAACUGGGAGAGGCCGUUCGAUACUGCGGGACUUGAGGUCGGGAGAGGGACGUGGAAUUUCCGGUGUAGUGGUGGAAUGCGUAGAUAUCGGAAGGAACACCAGUGGCGAAGGCGGCGUCCUGGCCCGCACCUGACGCUAAGACGCGAAAGCGUGGGUAGCGAACGGGAUUAGAUACCCCGGUAGUCCACGCCGUAAACGGUGGAUACUAGGUGUUGGUGGCUAUCGUCAUCAGUGCCGUAGCUAACGCGUUAAGUAUCCCGCCUGGGGACUACGGCGCAAGGCUAAAACUCAAAGGAAUUGACGGGGGCCCGCACAAGCAGCGGGAGCGUGUGGUUUAAUUCGACGCAACGCGAAGAACCUUACCUGGGCUUGACAUGUACGUAGUAGCGAAGCGAAAGCGGGAGCGAUCUUUCGGGAGCGUACACAGGUGCUGCAUGGCUUGUCGUCAGCUCGUGCGUGAGGUGUUCGGUUAAGUCGGGUAACGAGCGCACCCUCGCUGUAGUACAUUGGUUCUACGGACGGCGUUAUGCGGAGGAGGGGGGGGAUGACGUCAGUCAGCAUGGCUCUAUGUCAAGGGCCUACACACACACGCUAAUGCCGCAAUGGGAGCCAGGCGCGGAGGGCGGACCUAUAUUCUCAAAGCGCGGUCUCAUUUCUGAAUU
rnacentral:rRNA from 1 species